rnacentral:rRNA from 1 species
GAGUUUGAUCCUGCACRGGAUGAACGCUGGCGGCGUGCCUUAACACAUGCAAGUCGAACGGGGUUAUUUUGAUGAAGUCUUCGGAUGGAAUUGAGAUAACCUAGUGGCGGACGGGUGAGUAACGCGUGGGCAACCUGCCCCAUACAGGGGGAUAACAGCCGGAAACGGCUGCUAAAACCGCAUAAGCGCACACCGGCGCAUGCCGGAGUGUGAAAAUGUGUAUCGAAAGAUAUGCAGGUAUGGGAUGGGCCCGCGUCUGAUUAGCUGGUUGGUGAGGUAACGGCCCACCAAGGCGACGAUCAGUAGCCGGCUUGAGAGAGUGACCGGCCACAUUGGGACUGAGACACGGCCCAGACUCCUACGGGAGGCAGCAGUGGGGAAUGUUGCGCAAUGGGGGAAACCCUGACGCAGCGACGCCGCGUGAGGGAAGAAGGUUUUCGGAUUGUAAACCUCUGUCCUUGGUGACGAUAAUGACGGUAGCCAAGGAGGAAGCCACGGCUAACUACGUGCCAGCAGCCGCGGUAAUACGUAGGUGGCAAGCGUUGUCCGGAAUUACUGGGUGUAAAGGGAGCGUAGGCGGGAAUGCAAGUUGAAUGUGAAAUCUAUGGGCUCAACCCAUAGCUGCGUUCAAAACUGUGUUUCUUGAGUGAAGUAGAGGUAGGCGGAAUUCCUAGUGUAGCGGUGAAAUGCGUAAAUAUUAGGAGGAACACCAGUGGCGAAGGCGGCCUACUGGGCUUUAACUGACGCUGAUGCUCGAAAGCGUGGGUAGCAAACAGGAUUAGAUACCCUGGUAGUCCACGCUGUAAACGUUGAUGCUAGGUGUCGGGGGGUCCAACCCUCGGUGCUGUCGCUAACGCAAUAAG